UACCAGCACCCCGAGUGGUCGGGACGUUUAUUGGGCCUAAAGCAUCCGUAGCCGGUUCUACAAGUCUUCCGUUAAAUCCACCUGCUUAACAGAUGGGCUGCGGAAGAUACUAUGGAGCUAGGAGGCGGGAGAGGCAAGCGGUACUCGAUGGGUAGGGUAAAUCCGUUGAUCCAUUGAAGACCACCAGUGGCGAAGGCGGCUUGCCAGAACGCGCUCGACGGUGAGGGAUGAAAGCUGGGGAGCAACCGG
rnacentral:rRNA from 1 species